rnacentral:lncRNA from 1 species
CUGGUUCAUCUCCUAGAGCCUUUGAUCUAGGAGAUCCUCUCGACUGUGAGUCUCGAGGGUCUUCUGGUAGAAUGGAGGUAGGGAUACUCUGGGGUGGAAUCAUGAUCAGAUAGAGGGCUCUCCGCCCUCUGCGUCCCCUUUUUGAGGAAGGCAGGGUGACUGGCCUAAGUGGCCUACCCGAUCGCUAGAUUUUGGAACUCCAGUGAU